CCCUUGAUGGUGUAGUUGGAUAUCACGUUCGGCUGUAAACUGGUAAAAAGUCGCCGGCUCGAUUCCGGCUCGAGGGA
rnacentral:tRNA from 1 species